GGGGUCUUUUCUGUGGGAGUCAACAGACGCCGAGUCACCAUGAAGCUGCGAGUGAAAUCUUCUUCCAAGUCACUGCAUUCAAAGGGAUCCUCUGGCGAAGGAGACUUCUGCUUUGGGGAAAGAGGUGGAAGGUCUUUGAGUGAGCUGGGUGACUACCCCUGGAACUCACCUCUGGCGUGACCGUAGAUGUGUCCUUGCUGCUGAUACGCUGUGGGGCUAUCAUGUCUUGUUCUUUAAGGGCACUUUCCCCACCUAAAACAAUUGAAAAAAACACAAAUAUUUCGAAUGGCAUUAGGAGAAUGAAAAUGUUGAAAAGCACCAAGACCCAUGGGACUUUGAUGGGGGCAAAUAAAUCAAGGGAAGGAAUACUCCAGGAAUACUAAGUAAUUGGCAAGUGAAGAUUUCAAAUUGAAUUAUAAAAAAAUUCUAAGGGAGAGAAGUUGGGGAGGCAGUGUGAGUUACUGCGUGAAAAUUUAACUGCGAUAAGCACAUGAAUAUGCUCUCCCUACAAGCCAAAAAAAAGACAGUGGCAGGAGGAAACAUGAACUGUGCCUGUCACGUGCGAGGAAUAAUGGUAACUGAAGAAUUCUGCCCCAGUGUCCUUCCUCGCAUUUUAGGAAGCAUCCCUCACUGGACAAGACCUUCAGCCGGCAUUUCCAGGAACAUGCUCCCUACUGAGCAGGCACGUCGCCUACUAAGCACAGGUCCCUGCGGCUCACCUGGACCCUGGCUUUGGAGAGCUCCGCUUCCUUCAGCCCACAGCUCUUCUCCCUGCUCCAGCUGGAAAAUCACAUCUGACUGGCAAUGUUGGUACCCUGGUCAUUGAAAAAAGGUACAUGGAUUUUGAAUUCUGUGCUGAUAAAAGUCCUCUCCUUCCCCGAAGCUAGUAAUUAUCAUCAAGUCCAGGACAGGCUACUGAGGAAGGACAAGGACAACACUGAAGUUCACCCCAGGCAGAACUUGAAUAGAAAAGAACACUGACAUCCAGACAGUGUGUUCACAACAGUGAAGACCUCUGGAUGCUGAUGUCUGUGCCCAAGCUCAAAGAACGCCAAACAGUUAGUCUGCAUUACACACUGAAUAUCUCCAGAGUGGGCUGAAUAUUAUUUUCAAACAGGCACCAACAAACAUAAGCUCUACAAGAAUAACCAAGUUCUAUUGUUUUCAUUAGUCUGCUUUCAACUCUUGCCACAGUGACUAGAGCAGAAUAAUUAUUUAGAAAAUGUUUAAUCAGCUUAUUUCUACAUUCAGAAAUACUGAGUUCCCAGUUCUCUUUGUGUUAGAGACUGAGUAGCAACAAAGACAUUAAAUUGUGGCUAAGAUUACAUUCUAGUGGGGUGACAAACUAGAUGGAGCAAAAUACAAAGAAAUAACUUAUUUUUCCAGGAAGGUCUAUGAAAGAUUCAGGGAAGAGUGUGGAGUGGGUACGUCGAAGCUAUUCCAGAUCCCUGUGGACGGAUGGACUGACUACCUCCCGACCCACCCAUCUGUAUACGUAUACGUGCAUACAGAUACACACGUACUGGCAGACUCACCCAGGGAGACCAGAUGACGUAUAUUUUCCAGCAUCACAUCUCUGAACAGCUUUCGCUGGGAUGCGUCCAGUAGGGCCCACUCUUCCUGGGUGAAGUCUACAGCUACAUCUUCAAAUGUCACUGAUUCCUGAAACAUCAUGGAUAUUCCGGUUUAGACCGAGCACUCCCAACAGGCGUCCAGAGUAGGACGGUUGAGCUGACAGCUCUGAGGAAGGGGGCGGAGGCGCCAGGUGUGUCGAAAGAUAAAUUGAACGUGGGGUUCCGUCAGCUCAUUCUCAGUAUCGAAUGGGCAGCCGCCUUUCAGAUUCAUCACAGAGAUACAUCCAGUCUGAAGCAAUAAAACUUCUUUAUAAGGGGGUAUCACGUGAAGCGUGACAUAAUAUUACCUGGAACUUUAAAAAAAACAACGACAACUGGUAUUUCUAGGGGCUCCUGGCUGGCUCAGUCAGUACAGCAGGUGACUCUUGACCUCUGGAUUGUGAGUUCAAGCCCCACACUGGGUGUGAAGCCUAUUUACAAAAGUAAAUACGUAAAAUAAAGACAAAGUCUAAAAUAAAAACUGGUAAUGAUGGUUUCUGAUAUGUGGCACUUGAAAAUUAAUAACUAAAACUCACUUUCUGGUAAUUUCAAGUAACUUUACCGACUCACUGUAAGGCAAACAAUAACCGUCACUUGUCUCUUUAAACCAUGACGCCAUUCCCAUAGGUAAACAUUUAAUAAACUGUUACGAGUACUGAAAGACUUGAUAAACUAAUGUAUGAAGUUCUUCCUAAGUAAACGUGUAUUAAAUAUAAGCCAUUUGCCUAUUACUCCUUACAUUGUCCCAAGAACCUUGAAACCAUCUCUAGCAUUCUUCAAAAAUGAACAGGUUUCAUAAAGAACUUGGUAAAAAUAGUGUUGUCUCGCUCAUCUCUAUGGGACGCAGAUGUUCAUAAUAAAGGACAAGGUCAGAAGGCUCAGCAGCAAAGCCAGGGACCUCUGAGACGGCUGUGCUGGGGGACAGUCCUGGCCUGACCGGUCCUGUGGCACGAGGACUCCCAAUCCCAAUCUUCUCUGGGACCUCAGACACCAGUUAUCACCGUCUCCUAUCUGGUCCUUCUGCUAAAGGAUAACAGAAGUCUCUUGACUGGUUUUGGUUUAUUUAAUUCUUAAAAAGUUUCUGCAGGAUCUUAAAUUGUACUCUACUCCCUUGUCCUGAGUAUAUAGCCACAGUUAUGGAAAUAAUACUCCCUGUACACUAAUUGCAGCUAAGAAAUAUUUUCUUAAAACGUUAAUUAAUUACAGUAAGGCAAAAUGUGUGACUGGGAACAUGAAUGAUAGUGAAAAGUUAGUGCUCUUUUUAAGAAGUUUCCAAAAGUACAAAUACACUCUCAAAACUUUAAAACUGGACAGAAUGAGUGACCCUUCAUGCCUUUUCUGGCCUCAACUUUUCUCGUGCUCCUUUCACUCCCAAAGACCCCAACCAGGACCUGUAACACUGGACUGUCAGAACCCACCUCCCUACUGGACUACAGCGUUGCCCUCCUGGCUCAUCUCUUCAUCACAACCCUUUACAAAGGACCAUUAUAGCCAACAGUGUGAUUAGUGAGUGAAUCAUUUCCCGGUAAGGAUAUAGACUAAGUUAGAGAAAAAACUUCUUUCUUCUUUUCUGUAAAUACAUAAGCUUAAUGGAGGCGAGAGUAAACUAGUGUGAGGUAGAAAGGUUAUUAGUUACUGAGGAGUUCCUGACCCAUUAGAACCAUCCCAGAGUCCUGGGGAGAUUUCACUGGAGCUCAAAUCCCUGAAUACUUCCUGACUGCACCUGGAAUAUGCGUGCCAAUGGGAAAAUCCCGCCCGUCAGAUGGCACAAGGCUGUAAGCGGAAAGAGGCGAUCCCCACUCACCAGUGGCUGCAUUUUCAAUAACCCCGAUGCAGGUGUCUUUCUCUGGGUCCUCGCUCACUGGCAGUCCAAGCACUAAGCAGGCAAAGCUGAGGACGGAGAAAGAAGCCAUGAGAUGCAGUCCUGCACAUAAUGUCCAGUCUGAACUGUCAUGAAGCCCCAAACCUUCACCUGGAUGUGACACUCCCCACCCAGCCCCACCAACCUGCAGCGCGCUCUACAAGAAAUGCAGAGGACUCGCCUCCUCUCCCGCAGUCUAGAGUUAAGAAUACUGACUACAGUUGCUAAAAAAACACCCCCCCCCCCAAAAAAUACAAAUAUAGAUGUCUCAGGAUAAGACCACUGAAAGUAUUGAGUGUAUAUGGCAAUCAGCCCACGGCAUCCAGAGUUCUUCAGUUCUCUCUGUGACUCCAGAGCGUGGGGAUCCUGGACUUCGGCCGCACGUCGAGUUUGAUUUCCAUCUGGAGGUAAAUACUCGACUUUCUCAGAUUUCUUUAUUCUCCUACACAAGCAGUGGUUGUCCAGCAUCCAUGGCAACCUUCUGGGGCCACACUGCCUUUUUGCUCUCCCUCAACUCCACCUCUGCGAUCUGCCCUCCCCUCCCCACCCCCCCCCCCCCACCAGAUGUGGAUGUCAAAAAACUAAGUUUAUGACAGGAUUACUCAAUUCAAGGACUUACUCCAUUUGGAGAGAUCAGUGGCACUCAUUCUGCUCCCCUGCAUCAGAAAGGAGGAGUAUAGGAGUCAGAGCGUUCCUGUUAUGUACUGUCCCAACCUUCCAGGUCCUUCAGGUAACUUGGAAUGGCUGGGGUUCGGAGGAUAUCUAGCUACUCUUUGAUUAUUUUAGCUAAGUGGUAGCACAAGGCCUUGAAAUCCGAUUCUAUAUGAAUCUUCAUUAGCUGUACUGUCCUGCAUCACACACACACAUACACGUAUACGUACAUGCACAUUUACGUAUAUACACAAAUGUGUGUGAAAGACAGAGAAAGCCAUUCAUAAACUAAAUUCUCCCCUAGAAUACCAAUAAUAAUUAAAUGUAUUUCAUGGGAAAAUGACGACAAUGUGUCAUAAGCAAAAAUAGGAUAACUCACCCAUUUGUACCUGGGGUCCAGAAAAAGAGGGAAAAAAAGGAAAUUUGUAUCAAAUGUGACUCUGCUUGGAUAUUUACAUGAUCCACUUAUUUAAUCUUCACAAUAAACUGGUGAUUUUAAUUGAUUUACUAAUUUAACAAAAGACCUGAAGAGAAGAGGUUCAAAACACUUUCUGUAUUUUAAUCUUGCUCUGCCUGUCUCCCAUGCUCAAAUUCCUUAAGAAUCACACCCCAUGCCUGGGUUUAACCUGGAAAAUCAUGUCGGUUCUGACUUAAGGAGAAGCCCUCCGCUGUUACUACAACAUCCUCUUCCUACUUUUUCAAGAAACACACCCCACACUCAGGUCUCUGUGCGCGGGAACCGACAGCAGGUGACUUCCGUGCGCCUGCCUUUUCUGUGGCCAAAUGUGACCCAUGUGGCAAAGAAGCCGAUCCCUGCCUAACACCAGCACCACCAGUCCUAGGGCUUUUCAAAUGUGUCUGGCAUCUCUACCUUGGAGAAGUGAAUCAUUCUUCCACGCUCCAUAAAUACUUCAAAUCUGCAGGCUCUUCAAUCUACACGUUCUCCCCUUUCAAAAGACAGGAUUCUUCCCUACUACAAUACUGUGUUAGUUUGCUCAGGCUGCUGUAACACAGUACCGCCAACCGAGGGGCUUAAACAACAGAAGUGUAUUUUCUCAUGAAUCUGGCCGCUGCACGAGACCAAGGCCUCCCCACCCAGCGUGCUCACAGCCGUCCUCUCCCUGUGUCUCCACACUCUUGCUUGGCACACAUCGGUGACAUCAGUCCCUCUUCUUGCAAAGACACCAAACGGACUCCGAGCCCGCCCCACUGACCUCAUUUUCCCUUAGUUACCACUUGUGAGGCCCAAUCUCCAAAUACACUCUUAGGGUUGGGACUUCAACAUUUGACUUUUGGGAACACAAAAUUCAACCUAUAAUAGAGAUGAAUUUACAUACAGUGACAUUCUGCCUCAGUUUUCCCCACAAGUCCUACAUUCAUGUCCACUGGUUAUUUUUUUCUAUCAAAUUGAAGUCCUGUUGCCUCUAAGUCCAGUGUGUCCAACUGAAUUCCUUUCUCCUGUUUUGUUCAGAACUAUAUUAUGAACUCUCCUUUCCCCAAAACAUGUCCAUCUCUCCACAAUCUCCUAUCUCCUCAUUGACGCUCAUUAUCUCUCUCGUAACUUGAAGCAAAAAUCUCCUCUGGACGGAUUUUCUCUCCAGCCCCUGGCCUUCCAUCCUCCCUUCAGAGCCGAACCGGAAGUGCUGGUGUCCCUCACUCACGUCGUCCCCUCCCUCUGACUUACAAAGACCACCAAUGAUUACUUUAUUACAUAGGUUAACUCGUCAUCCUUCUAAAGGUCUCAAAAGCAAUCUUCAUCCAUCUUGUGGAUUUGGGUUGUUACAGGCAACACUGGACAGAAGCUAAAGCGAGAGCUGUAUGCUGCUCUUUAUUUUCAAGAGGACUCAUCAUGUGACAUCUCUCAGGCUGUGAGCAUCCUGGUGACUCCAGAUAAAUGAAACAUUUGAGCUUAAAAUAUAUAUUUGGCUACCUAGAGUGUGUAUAUUUUACUGUCAGGAAAUAGAAAAACAAAUCAGCAUAGGUCUCUUCAUCAGAUUCAGUUGAUUGAUGCCUAACAACUGUAAAACCCUACAAGCUUCAAAGUAUUAAGGCUUUCUAGAAUAAAUAACAUAGCUUCAUUACUUAUUUUACUAUAAAUAGGAUGUGCUUUGUUUUUGAAAAUAAGUUUCAAAGAAGUAGGACAUAUCUUAAGAUACACGGAAAUCUCGAGAUCCAAAAGAACAGAUUGUUUUUGAAGAAAAAUCAUGCAAUAUACAUUUUAAAUACAAGCUUUU